UCUUUGACCUUCCUCCUCCAGAUGCCCCACUGUUGAAAAGGGUGAGGGUACCGUGCACUAUCGGGUAACCCUCCCUUCUUUCACAGUGGAGCAGCUAGGACUCUUCUUCCAGACCCA
rnacentral:precursor_RNA from 12 species